UACGGGGGGGGCAAGCGUUGUUCGGAAUUACUGGGCGUAAAGGGCUCGUAGGCGGGUCUUUAAGUCAGGGGUGAAAUCCUGGAGCUCAACUCCAGAACUGCCUUUGAUACUGAGGAUCUUGAGUUCGGGAGAGGUGAGUGGAACUGCGAGUGUAGAGGUGAAAUUCGUAGAUAUUCGCAAGAACACCAGUGGCGAAGGCGGCUCACUGGCCCGAUACUGACGCUGAGGCACGAAAGCGUGGGAGCAAACAGG
rnacentral:rRNA from 1 species